AUACGGAGGGGGUUAGCGUUGUUCGGAAUUACUGGGCGUAAAGCGCACGUAGGCGGACUGGAAAGUUGGGGGGGAAAUCCCGGGGCUCAACCCCGGAACUGCCUCCAAAACUUCCAAUCUAGAGAUCGAGAGAGGUGAGUGGAAUUCCAAGUGUAGAGGUGAAAUUCGUAGAUAUUUGGAGGAACACCAGUGGCGAAGGCGGCUCACUGGCUCGAUACUGACGCUGAGGUGCGAAAGCGUGGGGAGCAAACAGGAUUAGAAACCCUAGUAGUCC
rnacentral:rRNA from 1 species